GCCAGCCCGCUCAGAACUCAAGGAAUUGACGGGGCCGCACAAGCGGUGGAGUAUGUGGUUUAAUUCGAUGCAACGCGAAGAACCUUACCUGGUCCUGACAUCCCGGAGACCCUUAGGAAACUAGGGGGUGCUUCCAUCUGGAAGAAUCUGGAGACAGGUGCUGCAUGGCUGUCGUCAGCUCGUGUCGUGAGAUGUUGGGUUAAGUCCCGCAACGAGCGCAACCCUUGCCUUUAGUUGCCAGCAGUUCGGCUGGGCACUCUAAAGGGACUGCCGGUGUUAAACCGGAGGAAGGUGGGGAUGACGUCAAGUCCUCAUGGCCUUUAUGACCAGGGCUACACACGUACUACAAUGGCCGAUACAAAGGGCAGCGACACUGCGAGGUGAAGCCAAUCCCGUAAAAUCGGUCUCAGUCCGGAUUGGAGUCUGCAACUCGACUCCAUGAAGUUGGAAUCGCUAGUAAUCGUGGAUCAGCAUGCCACGGUGAAUACGUUCCCGGGCCUU
rnacentral:rRNA from 1 species